GCCUCCGUAGCUCAGUGGAUAGAGCGCCGGUUUCCGGUACCGAAGGUCGCAGGUUCGACUCCUGUCGGGGGCA
rnacentral:tRNA from 1 species